GAGGCAUUAAGUAAAAUAAAAAGCUUCUAACUUUUUAUACAAGCAGUUAAAUUCCGUUUGUGUCUCU
rnacentral:tRNA from 1 species